rnacentral:other from 1 species
UACACCCUGAAGUAUUCGCUAGGUUGCUAGACCCCUGAGCCGAUGCUUAAAAACCAGGAGCGAUCCAGCCGAAAUUGGUGUGCAUGUCCGCUCGACGGAAAGCCUAAAAAUUUCGCGGAAAACUCCACCUUGAACCAAUGGGUUCAAGGGCCGUGCGACCGGCGGUACUUUGGGGCUUUU